rnacentral:misc_RNA from 1 species
AACACUUUGUGGCCAAGGCUUUGGAGCAAAAACAUAUAACAUGCUGGGACUAUAUCUGCAAGCCUCCUGCAUCAUAUCCUUCUUCUUCUCUAUUAUCAUAUCUUUAUUAUGGCUACAUACAGAGAAAAUUUUGGUCAUACUAAAUCAAGAUCCUCAAAUUUCUACCACUGCUGCCCUUUAUAUGAAGUAUCUCAUUCCUGGGUUAUUUGCCUAUGGCUUUCUGCAAAACAUCCUAAGGUUUCUUCAAACGCAAUCUGUGGUCAUGCCUCUUGUCCUAUGCUCAGCUAUACCGAUGUGUAUUCAUAUUGGCAUUAGUUAUGCUUUGGUUCAUUGUGCAAAUAUUGGUUUCAAGGGAGCUCCAUUGGCAGCUUCGAUUUCACUGUGGAUAUCAGUCUUUGUUUUGGCAAUUUAUGUGAUUUACGCCAAGAAAUUUGAGCACACAUGGGGUGGAUUUUCAUUCGAAUCGUUCCGUUACAUUCAUAUUCCUUUAAAACUGGCCCUGCCUUCUGCUGCAAUGGUAUGCUUGGAGGAUUGGGCCUCCGAGAUUCUGGUGCUUUUAGCCGGAUUGAUGCCUGACUCAGAAAUAACUACUUCAUUGCUCGCAAUGUGUGUGAAUAUAGAAUCCAUAGCCUCCAUGUUUGCGUAUGGUCUCAGUGCUGCUGCAAGCACAAGAAUUUCUAAUGAACUGGGAGCAGGCAACCCAGAUCGAGCGAAGAAUGCAAUUGCUGUGACUCUCAAACUCUCUGUCAUUCUUGCUUUCGUAGUUGUGUUGGCUCUAGCCUUCGGUGGCAAAAUCUGGACUAACUUGUUCAGUGACAGCCCUAUAAUAACAAAAGAAUUUGCAUCGAUGCUGCUCUUGCUUGCUAUUUCAAUUAUAAUUGAUUCGGUCCAAGGUGUCUUAUCAGGUUAAUAUGAGUUCUCCGGCGCUUCUACAUAUUGGUGUGGCAAGAGGAUGUGGUUGGCAGCACUUGGCUGUGUGGGCUAACUUGGCAACAUUUUAUUUCAUUGGCAUGCCAUUAGCUUGUCUUCUUGGAUUCAAGUUGCAGCUGUAUGCUAAGGGUCUGUGGAUUGGCUUAGUCUGCGGCCUUUCUUGCCAAGCUUGUACAUUCUUGUUGAUCACACUUCGGACAAAAUUGACUAAAACAGAACUUCUUAUGGGCACAGAUGAAGAAAUCCUUGUUGUUGUCUAACACUUCACAGAAUAUCUAUUAAACAUGGAUCCCAGAAAAAGUUAGAGACAUCUUUGGCAUUGGAAAAAUUAGUUUAGUUCAAAUUCAAAUAAAAUUAAGAAUUAGAG